UACUCGAGUGGCGAACGGGUGAGUAACACGUGGGUGAUCUGCCCUGCACUUCGGGAUAAGCCUGGGAAACUGGGUCUAAUACCGGAUAGGAGCCAUUUUUAGUGUGAUGGUUGGAAAGUUUUUUCGGUGUAGGAUGAGCUCGCGGCCUAUCAGCUUGUUGGUGGGGUAAUGGCCUACCAAGGCGGCGACGGGUAGCCGGCCUGAGAGGGUGACGGCCACAUUGGGACUGAGAUACGGCCCAG
rnacentral:rRNA from 1 species